CGCCUAAACUCUAAAUAAUUUUUAGGGCAUGGCAGAAAAUCCCUUGCAGCAACGAGAGCUCCUCGUUCAGUACCUGCAAGGGUCAUAUGCCGAAAGGUGUAUGGGCGCAAGCC
rnacentral:sRNA from 1 species